UAGAGUUUGAUCAUGGCUCAGGAUGAACGCUAGCGGCAGGCUUAAUACAUGCAAGUCGAGGGGUAUAAAGUAGCUUGCUAUUUUAGAGACCGGCAAACGGGUGCGGAACACGUACACAAUCUAACCUUAUCUGGGGGAUAGCCCAUAGAAAUGUGGAUUAAUACCCCAUAGUAUUACGGAGUGGCAUCAUUUUGUAAUUAAAGAAUUUCGGAUAAGGAUGAGUGUGCGUCUGAUUAGGUAGUUGGCGGGGUAACGGCCCACCAAGCCGACGAUCAGUAGCUGAUGUGAGAGCAUGAUCAGCCACACGGGCACCGAGACACGGGCCCGACUCCUACGGGAGGCAGCAGUAAGGAAUAUUGGUCAAUGGACGGAAGUCUGAACCAGCCAUGCCGCGUGAAGGACGAAGGCGUUCUGCGUUGUAAACUUCUUUUAUCAGAGAAGAAACCACCGAUUUCUAUUGGUGUUGACGGUAUCUGAUGAAUAAGCACCGAGCGAACUCCGUGCCAGCAGCCGCGGUAAUA
rnacentral:rRNA from 1 species